rnacentral:rRNA from 1 species
UACGAAGGGGGCUAGCGUUGCUCGGAAUCACUGGGCGUAAAGCGCACGUAGGCGGACUCUUAAGUCGGUGGUGAAAUCCUGGAGCUCAACUCCAGAACUGCCUUCGAUACUGAGAGUCUUGAGUCCGGGAGAGGUGAGUGGAACUGCGAGUGUAGAGGUGAAAUUCGUAGAUAUUCGCAAGAACACCAGUGGCGAAGGCGGCUCACUGGCCCGGUACUGACGCUGAGGUGACGAA